rnacentral:lncRNA from 1 species
CGAAGAAGAAAGGAAGAAUGGAAAUGGAAGAAGAGGAGGAGCCAAGCCACAAUAUUCAGUGUUGUAUAAUUUCAUGGUAUGAUGGACGCAGCUGAGGUGGGCCUCCGCUGUGGCCAGGCAGUUCAGCCUUGGCGUCAACCCUCUAUGUGAUGAGUGAGAUGCCGGUUGAGCUGGAGUGUCCUGGUAUUGGGGGCUCUUCUGGUAUUGUAGACAACCAUCUGUGUAACCUUUUCGUGAAGAGGUCCGGUGUGACCUGUCCGGUUCCUGAUGGUGUCCGGCACAGCGUUGAAGAGGUCCGCAGAAAACGACACGCCAAUUUAUUUGAAGUCAAGGACGGAGAUUAAAACGGCCUUGAAAAACACCACACCCGUUUCGUCCACCGCCAUCACCACCUCCUAGAUCAAGGACAAAGUGUAUUACAGACUCACACAUAAGGAAGAGGCCAUGAGGGAGGCGGUGGAGGUGUGGGGGGGUUCAGCACGCUAUCAGUUCAUGCCUGGGAUGGGACACACUGGGACAGCGUCGGACCGUUGGUGAGAGCAAGACAAGGCUGUGACAAUUCUGCAGAGGUUUGCCACUCAGACCUGUUGCCAUGUUACUAUUAUUGCACAUCCUAAGAAGGUGUGUGUAUGUGUGCAUAUGUGUGUUUACCUAGUUGUAUUUACCUAGUAGUAUUGUACAGGGUUUGAGCGGGCCUCAUAGCGUCCUGUCUCCAUG